rnacentral:rRNA from 1 species
UACAGAGGUCCCAAGCGUUGUUCGGAUUUACUGGGCGUAAAGGGUGCGUAGGUGGCGGGGUAAGUCUGGUGUGAAAUCUCCGAGCUCAACUCGGAAAAGCAUUGGAAACUAUCCCGCUAGAGGGUCGGAGGGGAGACUGGAAUUCUCGGUGUAGCAGUGAAAUGCGUAGAUAUCAAGAGGAACACCUGCGGCGAAGGCGGGUUGCUGGGCCGACACUGACGCUGAUGCGCGAAAGCUAGGGGAGCGAACGGG